UACGAAGGGGGCUAGCGUUGCUCGGAAUCACUGGGCGUAAAGCGCACGUAGGCGGACUCUUAAGUCGGUGGUGAAAUCCUGGAGCUCAACUCCAGAACUGCCCUCGAUACUGAGAGUCUCGAGUCCGGGAGAGGUGAGUGGAACUGCGAGUGUAGAGGUGAAAUUCGUAGAUAUUCGCAAGAACACCAGUGGCGAAGGCGGCUCACUGGCCCGGUACUGACGCUGAGGUGCGAAAGCGUGGGGAGCAAACAGG
rnacentral:rRNA from 1 species